GCUGGGCGUGGUGGCGCGUGCCUGUAAUCCCAGCUACUUAGGAGGCUGAGGCAGGAGAAUCGCCUGAACCCAGGAGGCGGAGGUUGUGGUGAGCCGAGAUCGUGCCAUUGCACUCCAGCCUGGGCAACAAGAGUGAAACUCCAUCUCAAAAAAAAAAAAAAGAUGGAGUCUCUCUCUGUCACCCAAGCUAGAGUGCAGUGGCACAAUCUCAGCUCACUGCAACCUCUGCCUCUGGGGUUCAAGCGAUUCCCCUGCCUCA
rnacentral:sRNA from 1 species